UACUUGGAAAAUAGACUUUAGCGUAAGU
rnacentral:sRNA from 1 species